GACAGAGGGUGCAAACGUUGCUCGGAAUUACUGGGCGUAAAGCGCGUGUAGGCGGAUCGAUAAGUCGGGCGUGAAAUCUCUGAGCUCAACUCAGGAACUGCACUCGAAACUGUCGACCUUGAGUGAUGGAGAGGAAAGUGGAAUUCCUGGUGUAGAGGUGAAAUUCGUAGAUAUCAGGAGGAACAUCUGUGGCGAAGGCGACUUUCUGGACAUCAACUGACGCUGAGACGCGAAAGCGUGGGGAGCAAACAGG
rnacentral:rRNA from 1 species